rnacentral:rRNA from 1 species
AUAAAUCAAAACUUUCGACAACGGAUCUCUUGGUUCUGGCAUCGAUGAAGAACGCAGCAAAAUGCGAUAAGUAAUGUGAAUUGCAGAAUUCAGUGAAUCAUCGAAUCUUUGAACGCACAUUGCGCCCGCCAGUAUUCUGGCGGGCAUGCCUGUUCGA